UACGUAGGGUGCAAGCGUUGUCCGGAAUUAUUGGGCGUAAAGAGCUCGUAGGCGGUUUGUCGCGUCUGCUGUGAAAUCCCGAGGCUCAACCUCGGGCCUGCAGUGGGUACGGGCAGACUAGAGUGCGGUAGGGGAGAUUGGAAUUCCUGGUGUAGCGGUGGAAUGCGCAGAUAUCAGGAGGAACACCGGUGGCGAAGGCAGAUCUCUGGGCCGAUACUGACGCUGAGGCGCGAAAGCGUGGGGAGCGAACAGG
rnacentral:rRNA from 1 species